AGCCUUAUUGGAAGGACUAUACACAAUUUUCAUGGCCUUUAAACCAAGAGAAGACAUACCUGAGCAAUUGAACCAGAAGGGAUGAGCCCCACCUGGAUCUGAUGCAGAUUAAAAUAUCUUGGACCUUGGGCCUGAGCUUGGAAUGGAAUGAGACCUUUGAGGAUCUUAGUGGGGGGCUUGGAAUGUUUUAACCAAUAGAGUAUGCCAGAAGUGACCCAUAGAAUGUGACGGAAGAUCCCCUUGUCAUAAAACCAAUGCAUAAGAUACAACUGCAUCCAAUGUAUUCCAGGGAAAGAUUCUCUGCAGAUGACUCAAGGAAAGCCACAGGAGCAACAGGGAAACUGAAAGAACAAAUAUCACAGUUGAUUCAGA
rnacentral:lncRNA from 1 species